rnacentral:pre_miRNA from 1 species
UGAACAGUUUCGUUGGAUCUGUGUUCUUCUGAAGCAACAGUCCCAAUGAAAACUGUUGACC